UCUCAUUUCUUUUUUAAAAACACACAGUUUGGUUUUAGACAACAGUGGGCAGAAUAGAGACUUCAGGAGAAGUGUACGUGAUGUAAGAGAUUAUUUCAUCCAUCCAUACAAGAAUGCACGCGGUCAGAUAAUACGAAGACCAUUGGGGGAGUUACGGAUCGUUACAAACCCAUUAGCUGAAUCGUCAAGAAGGGAAUCUGAAAAUCGUGGAUCAGUUCAUCACGCUGGAACAGGAGGAGGACGUCACGGGCCCACGAGUGGAUUCUAUCGCUCGGCGCGCGGAAGUUUGCGUGAGGACAUUACAGCGUCUACGAGAGACACAGCGAUCGCAGGACCAUCUUCACAUCCUACACUACAUCAAUCGUGUGUAAAAAAGGAUAGCCUCGCUCUU